CAUGCGUAUUCAUGGGUAUUUCACGAGGAGAAAAUAACUUAACAGCGCAUUAUCUAUGAUUGGUAACUAAGCUAAAUUAAGUGCUUGCAUCUAUAAAAGUCUCAGUUUAACUUGAAAUAUUGCAUCAUCUUUCAAAAUUCAAAAAUUUUGUAAAACCGAUUGUGAAUAAGUAUAACCCUGGUAGACUGUGAAAAUUUCAUUUGUAAAUUUUUUAGUUCCAGUGAUGGUGCAGAUUUUGUGAAAAUCGCCAGCUGAUCAUUAAGUAUGUGCCUGGAAUCUGUAAUUUUUCUGCUCACUGUGGAAGCAAGUGAAAACUACUGCUUUGACUUGGAAUUUUCUGGAGGUUCAUGGGUGGAAAAGCGCUCGGUGAGUCUCGUCUUGUUUCAUACCAUUCACGUGUUUUACACAUCCUCCUCUUCCGGUUUACUUUCAUCUGGAAAGUAGCUUUUCAAUCAGCGCGCUCUAUCCGCCGGAAGUUGAACUAGCUGAGGAUGAGCUUCACCGAAUCCUGCCUUUGGAGAGUAAAAUGCG
rnacentral:lncRNA from 1 species